rnacentral:rRNA from 1 species
GAUGAACGCUGGCGGCGUGCUUAACACAUGCAAGUCGAACGGAAAGGCUCCUGCUUGCAGGGGUACUCGAGUGGCGAACGGGUGAGUAACACGUGGGUGAUCUGCCCUGCACUUCGGGAUAAGCCUGGGAAACUGGGUCUAAUACCGGAUAGGACCACAUUUUGGAUGGUGUGGUGGAAAGUUUUUCGGUGUGGGAUGAGCUCGCGGCCUAUCAGCUUGUUGGUGGGGUAAUGGCCUACCAAGGCGUCGACGGGUAGCCGGCCUGAGAGGGUGUACGGCCACAUUGGGACUGAGAUACGGCCCAGACUCCUACGGGAGGCAGCAGUGGGGAAUAUUGCACAAUGGGCGCAAGCCUGAUGCAGCGACGCCGCGUGGGGGAUGACGGCCUUCGGGUUGUAAACUCCUUUCGCUAGGGACGAAGCGCAAGUGACGGUACCUGGAGAAGAAGCACCGGCUAACUACGUG